GGCAGCGCGACGCCGGGUGGCCCAGCAGCGGGCGGGUGCCGGGGGCGGAAGCGCGGCCACAAGAGGGGGCGAUUCACCGCCGCCCCCCGUGGGACCUGGGUCCUCUACGCGGGACCGCAGGGGCCCCGAGUCGCGGGUUGGGCAAGGUCGCCCGCUCCGGGUCGCUCGGAAGGGUCAUUUCACGGACCGGUCGUCUGGGGCCAGUGCGUCUUGCCCCGCACGGAAGACCCCUCGCUUCGAGGACAGGAAAGCUUUUAAAGAACAAAGAUUUCUAACAAGAGAGAGAAUAUCUUCCCGAUUCGACUCCCAUAUGUCAAGAGACUCAGAUGUGACUCAUAUUUGCCUGCCAGGAGGAGGAAAAAGAAAUACACUGUCCAGGAGCAACUCCUUAGUGGGUACCCACCAGAAGUGGUCUCCAAACAAGGCAAGAAUCUGUGUAUUCCUCACACAAUUCAAUCCCAGCCAUUCCAUAUGUACACACUGAGGUUUGCUUUUGGGUAAAUGGAAAUAACUUUAGAGUUUCACCACAAGAAAGCUACAUGGUAAGCAAGUGUUGGAAAAUCUUAACAGUGGGUGACAUUAAGCUAUAGGGUUGCAUUUUCAAGGGAACCAACAUCUUAUGCCGUGGCAAGCAACUCCUGACUGGAUAAACAGCUCUUAGAUGUCAUUGAUAGGCUCAAGCUGAGGCGCAGAGGAAGUAUGGCCCAAGGGCAUAUAGCUGGUAAGUGGUGGCUGGACUGCAAUCCCAAGUAGACAGUAUUAUCUUAGACUGAAACACAAACACUGCAAAGUCCAUUCUCCCUUGGCCACGUUUCACAAAAGAGGAAAUGGGACCUGAAAAUUAGGAGACUUACACAGGAUUGCACAGCUAGCGCAUCAGAGAGCUGACAUUUGGAAGCCCACGUGAUAAGUACGUGUGUAAUCUCAUUUACCGCAGGCAACUCUUAGAUUCUGUUAUUCCCAUUUUAAGAAUGAGGAAACUAGUCUGGGCGUAGUGGCUCUCGUCUGUGCUAUCAGCACUUUGGAAGACCAAGGCAGGAGGACCGCAUGAGCCCAGGAGUUCAAGGCUGGUCUUAAACAUAGUGAGACCCUCUCUCUACAAAAAAUUAAAAACUUAGUCCAUGCAUGGUGUUGGGUGACUGUAGUUUGAGCUAUUUGGGGAGACUGAGGCAGGAGAUCACUUGAGCCCAGGAGUUUAAGGCUGUCACAAGCUAUGGUGGUACCACUGUGCUCCAGCCUGGGCAACAGAGCGAGACCCUGUCUCAAAAAAGAAUGAGGAACUAAGGCUAAUAAAGUUUAAGAAUUUGCCUAAAAAUGGAAAGCUUUUUUUUUUAAUCUGUCUGUGAAUGAGAGGAAAAUAAAAUUCAGUAAGGCCUUCCAAAUCACCACUUAGGAAGCCCAACAACGUUAAAUAUGAAUGCAUAUCUAGAAAAUGGUGACCAAAGAAGUCUGGUUCCAACAAUUCACAUAAGAGAGUGGUCAAAAUGGAAUGAAUUAGUAGAUUAGAGUCCAUUUCAAAAGACUCUGAAAAAUGAGAUAAGGAAAUCUGUGAGCAAUGGAGAACAUGCAAAACAACUCAGAUACCUAAUCCAAAGCCUAAUAUUAGUUUUAAUGCAAAUUUGUGUUAACUGAAUUUAGGUUCAUUCAGGAGGCUGUGCUGAUGUUGAUGUACACACAACAUCAGCAUACCUCUGAAGGGCAGGAAGUAGAUGACGUUGGACCUCCAGAACACUAUACCACAAACUGGAUCAGCACCUAGAGGUGAAAUUAAAUGCACACAAAAACCUGGAUCACUUCAUUCAUUCAUUCAACAAAAUAUGUGUUAAAAGUCUUCCCUGGCUCCUGGGCUGUUUUUUGUUUUGUUUUUUUCCGCUUUAGAGACAGUAUGUCAUUCUGUCACACAGGCAGGAGUGCAGUGGUACAGUCAGAGCUCACUGCAGCCUCGCAGUCCUACCGCUGAGUACUUGAGACUACAGGUGUGCACCACCAUGCCUGGCUAAUUUUUUACUGUUUUUUAGAGAUGCGGGUCUUGCUCUGUUGCCCAGGCUGGUCUCAAACUCCUGGCCUCAAGUGAUCCUCCCGCCUUGAUCUUCCUGGACUUCUGUUGGAUAAAUUCCCUAGGAAGAGGAGAGUUAACACUUCGAUAGAUUUUAUUUAUUUAUUUAUUUUUUAGAGACAGGGUCUCACUGCAUUGCCUGGCCUUAAGUGACCCUCCUGUCUUGGCCUUCCAAAGUGCUGGGAUUACAGGCGUGAGCCACCACACCUGGACUUUGAUCGAUUUUUGGAGGACUUUCAAAGUAAAAAUGAAGAAGGUAUCUGAUCUUUUGAUAAGCCCUUAGUCACUAGUAGAUAUUAUAUUGCAUUUAAUUCCUGAUGCCCUUCCUCCACCUACUAGUGGUGUCAUCUUUCCCACAGGACCUUUUCUUCCUUUUAAGUCUAACCCAACCAGCUGUCCCCUUAAUGCUACUUGUCCCUGCCUUCCUCAGCAAAUUGUUUCCACAUUUAUCUCUUCCCUCUCCAACUUCUGCCUCUCCCUUGCCAUUGGCUUCUGUCCUAUUUGUUCCCAGCUUGCAGGCGCUGGCCCAUGUCUGUCUCCAAGUCUUACUCGUUCUUACUUUGAAACAUUUCUCACAGCACUAGAGAAAACACAGUGUGGUUGGACAAGACCUUGGGAACAUGGGAGCUGGGAUCAGAAUGUGUCUGUGUUUGGAUGUCGGAGUUGGGCAACCUCUUGGCUCGGAUAUUUUUCUGUUCGUUUUGUUUAAUAAUCUUUAAAAUAAGCAUGACAACUAAUAACAUUUAUUGGAUAUGUUUGUAUGCUGGACACUGUCCUAAAUCAUUUCCAUGCAUUAUUUAAGGAUCAUGAGACAGCUAGAGGUGUUUGUGAGCAUUUCCAGAGAGCAUGCCUGUGAAGCUCGCUGAACAAUGCCCAGCUCUCAACAUGACCCUGUUAUAUAAGAAUAAUUCUUUUUCUCUCCAUUCCCACUUAGUUCAGGCCCUCAAUCAUCAACAAGCAUCCUCCUUAAAGUUCUCCCUGACUCUCCACCUAAUUAAUCCUGUCAUUUUAUUUUUUUCUUUUCAUUUAUUUAUUUUUAUUUUCUUUGCCACUUCUGUAUCUUCUUUGGAGAUAAUCCUGUCACUACUUUUAAAAACCUUAAGUGCAACUUAACAUAUUGCUUCCCUGUUCACGUCUUUCUCAUUCGCUGUCACCUCAAACCCAAACUCCUUGGCUUGCUUUUAACACUGUGGAGGACAUUCUACUCUCCUCCCUCCCUGCUCCACACCCAGGAAAGAUGACUGUGCAGUAAAGCCAUGGCUCGCUUGCCCUUGAGUUUCCAAUGGGAUUCAUCUGGUAAGAGGCCUCAGCCAGAGAUGGAAGGGUGGGAGGAGAGUGAGGUUGGAGUUUCCAUUUUCCCAGCUCCUUUCCUGCCAAGCCACAGGUUGAUAGUAACUGCUAUUUGUGUGCAUAUAGAGACCCUCUCUUUGCACAUAGAGACCCUCUCUGGGCUUUAAGACCACUGCCUCCCCUGCCCCUUAAGGAGUUGGGCUUCCCUUUUUUUUCUUGUUGAAACAGUGUCUCAGUCUGUCAUCCAGGGUGGAGUGCAGUAGUGCAAUCACGUCUCACUGCAGCCUCGAUCUUUCAGGCACAAUUGAUCCUCCCACCUCUGCCUCCCAGGUAACUGGGACUACAGGCACCCACCACCACAACUGGCUAGUUUUUGCAUUUUUUCUACAGACGGGGAUUCACCAUGUUGUCCAGGUUGGUCUCGAACUCCUGGGCUCAAGCAAUCCUCUGGCUCAGCUUCCCAAAGUGCUAGGAUUAUAGGUGUGACUACCAUACCCAAGCCGUUAAUCUCUUUUCAAAAACCUUAGAGUCAUAUCUUUUUUUUUUUUUUUUUUUUUGAGACAGAAUCUUGCUCUCUUGCCCAGGCUGGAGUGCAAUGGCAUGAUCUCGGCUCACUACACCCUCCGCCUCCCAGGUUCAAGCAAUUCUGCCUCAGCCUCCCCAGUAGCUGGGACUACAGGUGCACACCACCACAUCCAGCUAAUUUUUGUAUUUUUAGUAAAGACAGGGUUUUACCAUGUUGGCCAGGCUGGUCUCGAACUCCUGACCUCAGGUGAUCCACUUGCUUUGGCCUCCCAAAGUGCUGGGAUUACAGGCGUGAGCCACAUGCCUGGCCAGAGUCAUAACUUUUAUAUCAUACAUGCAACUCAUCAGUAAACCAUCCAAUUAGCUUACCUUCAAAAUGUAUCCAGAAUCUAAGCACUUCUCAUCCGGAAGAG
rnacentral:lncRNA from 10 species